GGAAGACUGGGUCUCGGAGAGCAGGCGGUAUAUAGUAUCCGGAUCUCGGUACGCUGGCUCUACAUAGUACCAUGGUGUGCGUCCUUGGACCUCGCAGGUCACCAGUGUGUCAGAGCAGAGUGCCCAGGGGGCUUUUUAUGGAGAAGUUUGAAUAAAGGCCAUAAAACAUCUCUCCCCACAGAGUCUGAAUCAGAAACAGUAAUUCCUUAUCCCCAGCUUGCUGCUCAGUUCUAGAGGUUAAAAGCAGCUGGCAGUGCUGCAAAUUUACUGGACCUGUGACCAGUGCAGACUGUGGGAUAAGCAGCUGAAUAGUGAGUCCUGGAAAACCAGGGGCCAGAACCACACGGUGGGCAACUUGCCGACAUUGUGCCCAUCUGAUGAGGUGUUUGGGUGCCGGACACUAAACCUAGCAUCAAGCCAGCGGUGGUGCAUGAUGAGCUGCUCAGCUGGGACAGUGUUCUGCUGAUCCCAGAAUCCAGCCUGGGACUGAUGGGAGCCAGCAGCAGGCACCGUGUGGGAACAACAAAAUCACUCGGUUACUGAAAGCAGCCCCAGAGCAGGCUCUGGGCCACGGGUCCAGCUGUUCGAUGCCCCUCCCAGGAACAGCCGGCAGUGGAGCAGGCAGCAGAAGGGAUCAGAAGCCGCCCCUGAGCCUGGCUCCUCGCUCUCUACUGGCUACAGCACUUGCACAGCAGAAGCCUGGGCCAACACACCUGCAUGGACUGUUCCAGGAGGAAUUGUUUCCGUGAUGAACUUCUGGCUGAAGUUCUGGAGAGGGCCAACGAGCAGGCCCAGUACCAAAGACAGAGGGACGUGCAGCUAGAGAAAAGGCAGGCUGCAAGGCAAGAGGAAAGGCCCAGGCCGGCUGCACAGCUUGAGGAUGGGGUUUCAGCACAGGAGCAGUUACUUGCUUUGCAGUUCCCGGAACAGGAACGGCAGCUAAGGGAGGACAGAGCUCAGCAGAAAGAGCCCUUUGAGUGGCUCAGAUCACUAAUGACUGCAAGAGUGGAGGCUCCUGCUGCAUCACCCAGACCACAACCUGAGUUCCUUGUGCGCUACCCUGAGCCACAGUCCAGAAGCAGCUUGGAAGACUCCAUGGUUGGGUGGCCCAUGGAGUUAGGUCCCAUGAGUGGCUGGCCAGGGCAACCUUGCCCCAUGCAGCCCUUCAUAUUGACCCCUUUCCACAGUGCCAUGUGCACAGGGAAUGAAGGGAGAGGAGACUGGGGGGCCGGGGCCAUGCCUUGGUAGGGGUUUUCUGUCUUGUCCAGGGUUCCACUGUUUGCACUUGUUCAUGCACUCUGUUUUUCUGUAAGGGUCUGAUGUUACUGGGGUUUAGGUCUGGUAAUGGCAGCUGUCCUGCCUGGCAAUGGGUGAAUGUUGUAAUUCCUUAUGUUUACAAAUAAAAACUUCUUUAUUUUAUCUGGAAA